GGGGGCGAAUAGGUUUCGACGGGGAUAGAGAAGCUUAGGUUGCAUACCGAGGUUCCACGUGCUCGUAAAACAGGUGGGAUAAAGACAAACGCAGACGAUUAUGCGUACGCCCUAGCCGCAUAGACGGCUAGCGUCCUCUCAGUGUUUGCCUGCGACACUGAACAGGGCGCCGACGAGCAGGCUAGCUGAUCCGCCAUACCUGUGAGACGGUGAAGCGAAAACUAACACAGGUUAAUUCCCUGGACACCAUGCCCGGCAAGUUCCAGGGGGUGAAAAUCUUUUGUCGGGCUAUGUAUGUAGACGCCUGAGUGGAUUGUUUCCGGACGCGGGUUCGACUCCCGCCGCCUCCACCA
rnacentral:tmRNA from 1 species